rnacentral:lncRNA from 1 species
UUUUUGAGCACACGAUUUUAAGACGGUUUAGGCACUAUAUAAUAAAAUAUUUUAGGUCACAUAAAGGGGCAUAGAACGCAAGAGAUACAAUAGAGGAUCAAAAGACAACAUACAAGAAGAUAGAGAGAAAGAAUGCUGAGGUUUGAAGAGCUUGGCAUGAAGAAUGUAGAAUCUCGGUAUAAGAAGUUCAACCCUUUUUUCUUUUUUUCUUUUUUUUUUUAUAAGACCGA